rnacentral:lncRNA from 1 species
AUGACAGGGAUGAGAGAGCAGUGGAGCGGAGCGUGGCAGCGCAACACACGGCGUGCAACGGCGGAGACGAGAGAGCAGCGGGCAGCGCGACACACGGCGUGCAACGGCAGAGACGAGAGCAGCGGGCAGAGCAACACAUGGCGUGCAACGGCGGAGAUGAGAGAGCAGCGGGCAGCGCGACACACGGCGUGCAACGGCGGAGAUGAGAGAGCAGCGGGCAGCGCGACACACGGCGUGCAACGGCGGAGACGAGAGCAGCGGGCAGCGCGACACACGGCGUGCAGCGGAGCAGACCACAGACGGCGUGGGUCGACCAUAGGUGACCGAGCGACUGGACACUAUACCGAGACGUCGAACUGUGGGACCCGCUCUUCAACCUCCAGCUCACCAAACAUCACAGUGGACUCCUUUGUUGAUCCUGUUUUUAAAAACAGCUGCUUAAGCCUUGCAUUUUAUAAUAUCUUAGCCUACAUGAGCAGGGGUGUAGUGGUCGGGGGACGUGGGGAACGGCGUUCCCCCAGUCUUUUUGGCGAGAUUUUUUCUUUUAUUUGUCUAAUAAAUUUUUUUUAAACAUUGCCUUUGUUAUCAUUUUCGCUAUAGUAUAGCUUCGAAUAAUGUAAUAAAACAUACUGCAAUUCACAAAUAUUAAUAAAAUAUUUAUUGUGUCACUGCAGGCGCGGUCACGGCAGGAUUUGAAGUCUGUGUGAGGUUGCAGUACCUAUAUGAGAGAGGAGAAAAGCAGCGCCGUCAACUAUUUGCAAUGCCAUACGUCUAUACUUCAAGCAUUCAUGCAAUUAUUAGGACAAUAAUUCGUCACUUUUUGUCGUUGUGUGUGUGUGUGUGUGUGUGUGUGUGGCCAGGGAUUUUGGGGCCCCAUGAAAAGAAGUAUUACUGGGCCCUUGUAUGAAAAUUUGUUAUGCUGUUUACAUAAAACUGUGCAUUUUAAUGAUAUUUUUGACUAUAAUUUCCUAUAUGUGUGAAAAGAACAACAUGACAGUUACUUGGUAGGGGAAGCACUGAACACUCAGAAUAACGGAAUUUAGAUUCAUUGUCUGCAAGUCUGCAACUUUAAUGGUUAAAAUAUAAAAUUCUCUUAAAUUAAAUUACCUGAAAAAUACAAAUGCAUGACAUACAUGAAUUAUAUAGAAUUUCCUGUAAUACCAUUUGAAAUAGCAUCAGCAUCACCAGAUUCAGGUUUCCUCCCACCAUUCUGUUUUACUGUCAGUGAUUUGAUCAAAAAUAACAAAAGCAAAUGUGAUUUUCACAACCAAUACCCCACUGCUCACUGUCUCCCUCUUGUAGCCCUGCAUUUAGGUCUAAUUUAUCUCCAAAAUUACUAUUAUAGCAAUCCCACACAAUUUCUCUUUCAAACAUGCACAUCACCCCCCACACACACUCUUAGACCAGCCACUGCACUCAAUGUAAAAACUGUAUGCUGUCUUACAUUAUGUUUUUGUUGUUUUUAUUAAGUUUGUUAUAUACGUUUAUAUUUUGUUAAAAAAAAUCUAUUAAAAAUAAUAAUUUAUCUCUAAAACUGUACGUGGUGGAAAUAGAGUUGGGGUGGAAAAAAAAUACAUAAAAAUAAAAAUAAAAAUACAUAAAUGAGGCUCUAUGGUCGUUGCGAUUGUUAACGUUUCUCUGCUUGGAUUGAGAGCAGUCACUUAGUCUGCAAGCACCAGAAAAUUUCUCCUCUUUUCCUACUGCAAAGCAAGGGGUGAGAGUCCCAAACUACUGACCAAACAUAGUAUUUUAGUGAGUUUAUAGUUCAGUUUCAGUGAUAGCUAAAUUUCAACAAAACAAAAUAAAGUUAUAGGCUAUAUGCUUUUUAAAACAUUUAAAUCAUUCUGAAAUAAAUACAGACUAUGUGUUUUUAUAUCAGAAUGAUCUUUAUUCAUUAAUUUCAAUUUAUCUUUUUUUCCAUAAUAAUAGAUUAAUUCAACACAAAGCUGCUCACCUCCUUCCUCAGUUGUGGGUAGGCCUACUGGGGCUGGUUCAGGGGUAGGGGGCUCACGGCGUUCACAGACAGCUGCGGCUGCUGCUGCUGCUGCGCUUGACGUGUCUGUUCAAACAUGCAUCAUUUUUGACAGGAGGGGUGGUCAACUGAUUAAAUAUGGGCAGCUUGCUAAACGUGAACAGUGAAAUCUAAAAAUCCAGAGUUUUCUUCCAAAAUAUGAGCUAAUAUGGGGAGAAAAGUGAGCUAGCUUAAAAACCACAAGGUUAAGAUAAACAACAGACUAAUGUGUUCCAGAACUUUCCACCACAUGAACCAAACCCACCUUGUUUUUUGAAAAACUGGGUGACAUACUGACGCCCCUUUACUUCUCUCUCCUGCCUAAUCGUUUGUCUUUCCUUUUUUGGCUACCCGACUUCUGGGGCAUUUUGCCUUCUCUCGGUCUCCUUACUGACUGAAUACACCGUACUGCGCAGCAGUUCAGUUGAUUGAUGGGAGGAAGAAAAAGGUAAGCUAUCGUAUUACUGUACUUAUUGUUACCUAUAUGCGUUCUUCAUUUAUCAGCAGUUUUGAGUCAACUGAUUUGAUGUGGGUUAAAUGUGUAUUCAAUGAAUUCAGAAUCAUUGCAGAAAAGAACUCCACCUUUAUCAUCUCUCUCUCUCUCUCUCUCUCUCUCUCUCUCUCUCUCUCAAUCACCAUAGCUUAUACCAAACACUUAAUGUAUACAGUUACAGGUCAUCUUAGUUGUUGUUUUUGGUGAGGCAGCAACACCACACACACACACACACACAAAUAAUUCAGUUUUAUAUAUAUAUUAAUUUUACGAUUACAGCAACACACUGAUACAAAGACACACACUGAACAGUUUUGCCUAUGUUUAUGUUGUGUGUGUGAGAGAGAGAGAAGGAGAGCUGUCUAAUUGCAACGAUAUAUGGCUCAAGCAUUUGCAACUUGGGUCUAUCCGGGUGACCUAAUUCAAAUAACGUGUUUUUUUUGGGGGGGGCGAGUUCCCCCAGUGAUAAAAUCCCCACUACACCACUGUACAUGAGCUCGUUGUGUGUGUAAUAAAGAGACAAUCACCAUUCUCCACUCCUAACUCCUGUGUGUUGUUGUCGUGGCCAGUGACUCCCCAGUAGAGACCUCCCUUAGCUAAUUUAUUUACUCAUAUUUGAAAACACACCCCCGUGACAUAAGUUAAUAAAUACUGUGCAGAAAAUUGCUGAUGUGAUUCAUUUCCACUGCCUUAGGAAUGCAGAUAUCCAGGGACAGGAGAGCGGGAGUGCCAGCGCUGCCACUUGGCCCUGGUUUGUCCUUAUGGAUGAGGUGUUAGGGCAGAGGCAUUCCACUGUUCCCCCGUCCUAAUUACCUCCAUCCCCGAAGAGACACCAGGGCCAAGUGGCGCUGAGGAGGAGGAGGAGCUCCUCAAUUUGAUAGAGGAUAUGCGGCUGCAGAGGGAGGCCAAGGCGAGACGCGAAAGGGAGAGCAAAGAGAGGACGGAGAGGCUGUUCUCGCUUCUAGAGCCGAUGAAUGACCGCUAAUUAUUAUUUUGUUUACUGCUAUAUUAUUUAACUUCUGAGUCCUAUUUAUUUUCAAUUAAUUGUUCUGAGGAUUUAAUUUCUUGAAUAAAAAGAUUGUUGUAACACGUUGUCUAUUCAAUUUAAUACUUACAACUUAUGUACAAUUUAUAACAGGGUUUGCAAACGGCAUCAAGUGCUAGUCAGGGAAAACAAGAGAUUGAAUUUUUGCUUUUAUUAUCAGAAUGACACAUUAUGGCUGAGCAGGAGUCCCUGCAGUGCUGCUGGGCUGGAUGGUGUCAGUGGGACAUCAUCUGGGGCGGUACUCAGGAUGUUUGGGGUUCCAGUCUCCUCUGUCCACCACAUUGUCCAUCAACUGGGUCUGCAGGGCUGACUUGGCCUACGGCUGCCAUGUCACUAAGAAUUUUUAAGAAGGAGGCAAGAAUUAUAAUUUCGCAAUAUCAUUAGAAUAAUAAAUCAUAACAGACAAAACUAUCUACCAAACACUUUAAUUAGGAAUAAUGCCUUUAGAAUUAUGUUACGUACCGACUACAGAUAGUCGUGGAGGCGCCACUGGCGGCCUCCAACCAGUGUUGCCAGAUUGGGUGGUUUUCCGCCCAAUUGGGCUACUUUUCUUUAUGCCAGGCGGGAAAAAAAUACAUUGGGCGGGUGAAUAAAAUUUGGGCUGCUUUUGUCCACAUUUGGCGAGUUUUUAAUAUUUGUGAA